UUGAACCUUCUAGGUAGGAAACCCCUUAACUUAAAUAUAAUACCGGGGAUGUGUUACUCUCCUCUUUAACGUCGUCCGAUACAAAGGAUCUUGUAUAUCCCUUGCUCUUUCUAAUUGAUUGCUCAUUUAUGACUCUUAUACCUUUCACAACAAUUC
rnacentral:rRNA from 1 species